AUUGAACGCUGGCGGCAGGCCUAACACAUGCAAGUCGAGCGAGCGGCGGACGGGAGGGAAAUGUAUGGGGCUCUGCCUGGUAGAUGGGGAUAACUACUGGAAGCGGUGGCUACUACCGUAUACUAUAGCAUGAACCCAUAUGGGUUUUGAUAGUAGGUGGGGGAAAGGCGCACCUAGGCGACGAACUGUAGCUGGUCUGAGAGGAUGAUCAUCCACACUGUAACGGAGACACGGUCCAGACUCCUACGGGAGGAAGCAGGGGGGAAUAUUGGACAAUGGGCGCAAUCCUGAUGCAGCCAUGCCGCGUGUGUGAAGAAGGCCUUAGGGUUGUAAAGUACUUUCAGCUGGGAGGCGUUACCAACAGAAUAAGCACCGGCUAACUCCGUGCCAGCAGCCGCGGUAAUAC
rnacentral:rRNA from 1 species